CAGCAGCCGCGGUAAUACGAAGGGGGCUAGCGUUGCUCGGAAUGACUGGGCGUAAAGGGCGCGUAGGCGGCGGCCAAAGUCAGGCGUGAAAUUCCUGGGCUCAACCUUGGGGCUGCGCUUGAUACUUGGUUGCUUGAGUGGGGAAGAGGGUCGUGGAAUUCCCAGUGUAGAGGUGAAAUUCGUAGAUAUUGGGAAGAACACCGGUGGCGAAGGCGGCGACCUGGUCCUUGACUGACGCUGAGGCGCGAAAGCGUGGGGAGCAACCAGGAUUAGAGACCCCGGUAGUCCCUGUCUCUUAUAC
rnacentral:rRNA from 1 species